GACGAACGCUGGCGGCGUGCUUAACACAUGCAAGUCGAACGGGCCUGUCUUCUUUUUUGGGGGUGGGUUGAGUGGCGAACGGGUGAGUAUCACGUGAGUAACCUGCCCUUCGGUCCUGGAUAACCGCUUGAAAGGGCGGCUAAUACGGGGUGGUCCGGUUGGUCCGCAUGGGCUGGUCGGGAUAGAUUCACUGUUUUUGGUGUUUCGGCGGGGGAUGGGCUCGCGGCCUAUCAGCUUGUUGGUGGGGUGAUGGCCUACCAAGGCGGUGACGGGUAGCCGGCCUGAGAGGGUGGGCGGCCACACUGGGACUGAGAUACGGCCCAGACUCCUGCGGGAGGCAGCAGUGGGGGGUAUUGCACAAUGGGCGGAAGCCUGAUGCAGCGACGUCGCGUGAGGGAUGGAGGCCUUCGGGUUGUGAACCUCUGUUUCCGGUGGUGAAGGCCCUGUCCGUGUGGUGGGGUUGACGGUAGCCGGGGAUGAAGCGCCGGCUAACUACGUGC
rnacentral:rRNA from 1 species